GCACAUGCUAGGAACUCUGGAGAGAAGAUUCUGGAAUUCGGUGACAGAGGAAGGUACAAUGGUCCAAGGCACUCUCUUCCUGUCCCGAGGCCUGGAGGGAGCUGCUUCUCACUGCUGAGCCUGUCUAACCAAGCCUGUUGUUCCUGUUUUAGGGGACUUGUCAUCUUCUGGGAUUUCUGCUGGUCAGGACUGCCACACUGCAAUACCAUCCUAACAAUACGCAGGUGCAGAAAAUCCAAGAUGGAGUCACAAAGAGUCAGACUUGACUGAAAUGAAUGGAUGACAAUAAGGAGAAUGGAGAGAUCCCUGGACCUGGAAUCAGGUGCAUAAGUUCAAAUCUUUUCUCUUCUAUUUCCUACUUGUAUGACUUUGGGAAAAUCAUUUAACCUCUAUAGGGCUCAGUUUCCUCAUUUAUAACAAGAUGAUCACUCUGUUACUAUGGGAUGGAGUUGCCUAAGAGUGUUUUGUCAGUUUAAAGAGGCAUGAAAUAAGCAAGAGAAAAAACAUAAACUCUGACAAAGGAGAACGUGGUGACGGAUUCCUAUGGCUUGCUAUGUAUUUGUCACAAGCUACGAAUGAAUAAAAAGUGAACUGGAACAUAAACA
rnacentral:lncRNA from 1 species